rnacentral:lncRNA from 1 species
CUCUCUUUCCUUUUCCAAAGACUAUCAGAAGAAAAAAAAGAACCCCAAAAGCCAUUACUAUCAUUCGGCUGACCCCAAGACCUGAGCAAAUCACCCUCCACCACUACAAUUCGAUGGAGAUUAACAUGUGCGCGCUUCUACUAGAGUCUUAACUCAAGACCCAUCAAUCUCGGCCCUUAAAACUCUCAUCCCAAACUUCGAUUUCGGCAAAGGGGACAAGAAUUCCGAUGGUUUAUUUACGACAGUAAACACUCCUCUUCUUUUAUUUUUUAUUUUUUAUAUUCAAGCCAUAUGCAAAAUCAAAAGAGAGAAACAUACAUAAAAAAGGGAUCGAGAAUCACCUCUUAAUUUUUUCGAUUUUUUUGUUGUAUUCAAUAUGUAUUUUUUUGUAGGUAUAUCACCUCUGUUUUUUUUACAAUGAAAAGGUUUUGUUGGCUUUCUGGCCGAACAAUCAAAAAUAAAAAUAAAAAUACAAGCCCUCCUUUUUUUGCUAUUCCAUUAUUUUUUUUGUUUCCAUUUGCUGUUGUUUUCUUGUUUGUUUGCAGGUGUGCGUGACGCGUGGAGGCCGUACGAUACUGGGUACGGAGGUAUGGAGGGGGCAGUCGACGUUGGAGGCUGCUAGGGUUUCCAGUGACCAAAAUUUUAGGUUGUUUGGGCUUGGUUUGGGCAUUAGGCCAUUGUGUUGGGCUCGGACGGAUUUGGCCCAUUACAAUAAGAAUAAAAUAUCUACAGAUAUUUCAAUACUCAAGCAUUUUAAAAACAUUAGAAAGGCAUUCUCAUUCAAGAUGUCAAACUAAUCGAAUAAAAGUGUUCAUAUUUUAGAGUCUUUACUAAAAACAUUAAAUUAAAGGUUUGUUUUGUUAAAAUUCUUAUCUAUUUUUAUUAAAAGUUAAUACCACAUUUCUAUAUAUUCUUUUGAAUAUAAAUAAAUGAAAAUAAUUGAUGAUUUAUUUAUAUAUUUAUUAAACCAUAACCUAUUUGCUCACUUUUCUUUUUCUUCUUCAUUUUCUCUCUUUUUUUUCUUAUUGAUCUAUCAUUUUCUCUAUUCUUUUUUAUUCUUUUGCACCCUGUUUGCAUCUGGAGCCAUAAAUGGAACUUGAACUUUCUUGGGUUCCUUCUGUGCUUUGUCUUUCCUUAAUCUUUCUACAGGAAUUUCAAUGUGAGAAAACAACGACAUGUAGAUAAAUUGCAAUUGGAUCUACAAUUGAAAGAGUAAAAAUAGAGAUUUACACAUGAAUUGGUUACAUAGUUUGGAAGAUUUUUUUAUGUCUACGGGACAUUGCCC